rnacentral:rRNA from 1 species
GCGAACGUUAUUCGGAAUCACUGGGCUUACAGGGUGCUUUGGCGGCUUGUUAAGUCGGGUGUGAAAGCCCCCGGCUCAACCGGGGAAUGGCGCCCUAAACUGGCGAGCUAGAGUGAGAUAGGGGUGUGUGGAACUUCCGGUGGAGCGGUGAAAUGUGUUGAUAUCGGAAGGAACGCCGGUGGCGAAAGCGACACACUGGAUCUUGUCUGACGCUGAGGCACGAAAGCCAGGGGAGCGAGCGGG